GCAAAUGUGGCUGUUAAAAUUCAAAUACUUUUGGGCCUAUAAAACACAUUUACUUUGUGUGUAUUGACCUCCCUCAUAGCUGCUUCCGAUUAUAACAGAAUCAGGAUAAAAUGCCAGAAAAUUAAAA